rnacentral:rRNA from 1 species
CCCUUAGAUGUCCUGGGCCGCACGCGCGCUACACUGAUGCAUGCAACGAGUUUAUAACCUUGGCCUGAAAGGUCUGGGUAAUCUUUUGAACGUGCAUCGUGAUAGGGAUAGAUUAUUGCAAUUGUUAAUCUUGAACGAGGAAUUCCUAGUAAACGCGAGUCAUCAGCUCGCAUUGAUUACGUCCCUGCCCUCUGUACACACCGCCCGUCGCUCCUACCGAUUGAAUGCUCAGGUGAGCCAUUCGGACUUUCAUCAUGCUGGUUUCCAGUUUUGAUGAAGGAAAGUCUUGCGAACCUUAUCAUUUAGAGGAAGGAGAAGUCGUAACA